rnacentral:piRNA from 1 species
UGGAACUAGAUUCCUGGGAUCCCGGCUAACAC